rnacentral:rRNA from 1 species
GACAGAGGAGCCAAGCGUUGUCCGGAUUGACUGGGCGUAAAGCGCACGCAGGCGGCUGUGCACGUGGGGUGUGAAAGCUGGCGGCUUAACUGUCAGACGCCACCUCAUACGGCACGGCUCGAGCCCGUGAGAGGUCCACGGAAUUGCCGGUGUAGUGGUGAAAUGCGUAGAGAUCGGCAGGAACACCCAGGGGGAAACCAGUGGACUGGCACGGUGCUGACGCUCAGGUGCGAAAGCGUGGGGAGCGAACCGG